AAAGUUUUCUUUUAUAAAAUUAAAAUUUGAUUAUGGUUAAAAAAUAGGUAAAAUAGCAUUAUUUAAAUUUAAUUUGUUUAGUGGGCAAUAAAUUUUUACCCCUGUAAAUAAUUAUUUGUAUAAAGUAUGUUCCAGAAUAAUCGGCUAUACUUACUAAAUUUAAACUUUAUUUUUUGUAAAUUAUAAAAUUGUUUUAAUGUGAUUUUUAAAUAUUUUUAGGUAAAAUUAAAAAUAUUAAAGAAAAAAUAAUUAUAAUUUAAAAAUUUGUGAAAUGAAUUAGAUUAGUACCUAAGUAAUCAAAAUUUAAAAGAUGCAGAAGUAAAGUUAUAUUUAAACUGAAAUAAUAUUGGCAGAUUUUCUAAAUUAUCUUUGGAGGUUGAGUAAUAAGUGAGAACCCUCAUUAACUACUAAUAUUAUUGGCUCAUGUAUGAUCGUUUAUUUUAUAUUUAAGAUAUAAAAGUUAAAUUUUUAAAUUGAAAAAAAAUAGAUAUAUAUUUGGUUUAUGUAUAAGUAAUAUUUGACCUACAAUAUAAUAAAAUGUGGAUUUUUUAUUUGUAUAAAAAAGUAAAAUGUAAAAGACAGUAAAAAAAUUUUUAUGGUUUUUUGAAGAGUAUUUAGAAGUGGUACAAAUCAUCCAUCAAUUGCCUAAAGGGGAGUAAGUUGUAGUAAAGUAGAUUUAGGGGAAUCUGAAUCUAAUAAU
rnacentral:ncRNA from 1 species